ACUAGAAAAUAAAGAAAAAAAACCUUUUUGUGCAAGAGUCUUCUACGAGUAUGGAUUUCAACUCUCAAUGAAAGCACCAAUUUGUGGAUGCAAAUUUCUUCCUCCUCGAUCUUGGACGAUUUUGCACCUACAAAACAAUUAACACCUUAGGUUAAGGCCAAGAGCCUCACGCGCCCACGAUGAAUGAGGGGGGCUUUGGCCGAAGAACCUCUGAUGCCAAAGUUAGAAUUUAGAGAGAAAUAGUGUUUAGAGAAUUUUGGGAUUUUUGCCAAAGUAUUGGAAUUGGUUUUUUGGUGAGAAUGAGAGUAUAUUUAUAGGGAU
rnacentral:lncRNA from 1 species